rnacentral:rRNA from 1 species
UACGUAGGAGGCGAGCGUUGUCCGGAUUUACUGGGCGUAAAGGGCGCGCAGGCGGCACUCUAAGUACGAUGUGAAAUCUCCCUGCUCAACGGGGAGGGUGCAUUGUAGACUAGGGAGCUAGAGGACGGUAGAGGGUGGUGGAAUUGCUGGUGUAGCGGUGAAAUGCGUAGAGAUCAGCAGGAACACCCGUGGCGAAGGCGGCCACCUGGGCCGAACCUGACGCUGAGGCGCGAAGGCUAGGGGAGCGAACGGG